AAUUGCGCCUGCGCAGUCUAGGAGUAGUGGCGGAAAAGACGAUGGGAGAGGCAUUGCGCCUGCGCAGUUGAGGAGUGGUGGCGGAAGAGAUGGUAAAGCACUUGUUGACACAUAACCUGGACUAAGCAUUGUUGGAGGAUCAGGACUUUAAGGUCAUCCUUGUCUACACAGUAUGUUCCAGGCCAGCCUGAGCUACAUGAGACCCUGUGUCCAAAAGUAAAGAGAACAUGGAAAAGAGCAUCAAGAAAGAAUGUCUGUGUGGCAGCUAAAAAGCAUGAGAAAACAGGAAGACAACAGAGAGAAGUGGGACGCAGUAUGAGCUCCAAACCCAGCUGCGGGGCGUGGGUAGAGAGCCAAAGUCGAAACCACGUGGAAAGCCAGACAGCCCCAUGACAACAGACUGGCCAUCCUGUAUAGAAACGAAACCCCUGGUUUCAGAAAACCUUCCAUCCAGUGGGGGAAUGUGAUGUGGCAGUAACUCCCCCUGUGCGGCAAGAUGGCUUUGGGAGAAAAAAUGCACAGUGUACUCCCCCCUGUAUUGUGGACUGCUGUGCCAGGGGGCAUGUUCAUAGCACCACUGCUCCCAAUAACCAAAAGCUAAAAACUGCCCGAAUGCCCAUCAACUUUUGAAUGGCUAAACAAAGCAUACAUAGUAUUACCAUACAAUGAAUUAUUUUUCUUCAGCCGUGAAAAAAAUGAAGCACCGAUCCAGGCUACGACGUGACUGAACUUUGAAGAUGUUACUCUAAGAGAAAGAAGCCAAUCACAAAUGGGUGCGUUUAUGGGAAACUCACAUAACAGGCAAGCCCACCAUAAUAGAAAAAAGGUUAGAGGUUCCUGGAGCAUGAAACUAAGGAGUAACUGUGAGGAGACAUUACAGUGUGGGUACGGGGCCUCCUUCUGAGGUGAUGAAAAUUCUAGAACCAGACACUGUUGAUGAUUGCACAACUUUGUGGAUGUAUUUUCUGGCCAGAGCAGGGGAUCUGAGCACCAGAACCCCACCUCCACCCCACCCUACCGCACCCACCCUUGUGGCACCAAGCCUUAAGUAGCAGCACCUCUGAUGACCACCGUAGUCUCUGAGAAUUUCUGACUUGGUGGCUGAGGGGAUGAGGUGACAGUAUUCCCCCUAAAAUAACCUCUGAGGGUGACCAGUGCUCAGAAUCCUGUCCCCGACAAAACAUCGAAUCUGACAGGUUUCAGGAUGCAGCUUGAAUGCUUCAUACGCCCCAGGAUUCUGAAACUCUUGGCAACUCGUUGCUCUCCCUUUCCAGAUCCUGGCUAAUGAGGAAACUGUGCAAAGGACAGAGAGCGCUGAAACCCCAGUGGAACUGAAAGAGUAGCCUCUGAAGAAGGGAGUCCAGGAAGAUGGGGGGUGAGAAACCCUGCAAAGGCCCUGCCAGGACCCCCUCUCUAUGUAUGACUGGGCUGUUUUUCCUCUAAUUCCCUGAGGUUUUACCCCUUAAAUGUGGUCACUUUGACCAUCAUUGACAGCCACUCACAACACAAGAACAUCUGUGAUCAGGUUUUCAUGGCAUUAAGAGCAGGAACUGCUCAGUCCCCUGUUACUUCAGAGCCAUCACAUCAAAUAUGGCACACAGGAACUGCUUUGCAAAUGGUUGCUAAACUCGGUAAGUUUAAUUUUAUGUCAAAUAGCCCUAGUUGUGUAUCUGACCUGCACUGAAACACAAAUUCAAAGCCGAAUCUUUUUUUUUUUUUUUUUUGGUUCUUUUUUUCGGAGCUGGGGAUCGAACCCAGGACCUUGAGCUUCCUAGGCAAGCGCUCUAUCACUGAGCUAAAUCCCCAACCCCUCAAAGCCGAAUCUUGUUCCUGCUUCCAUGCCUGUUUAACAGGAGUAACGGGAGACACUCUAAAUGGCUCAGGUUCCUGUCUAGUUCUGUCUCUGUUUUAGUAAUAACACAGCCAACAUCUCCAUGAAGCUGAGUAUACACAAGGUUUUUGGUUUGUCUUGAGACAAGGUCUCUCUCUCUCUCUCUCUCUCUCUCUCUCUCUCUCUCUCUCUCUCUCUCUCUCUGUGUGUGUGUGUGUGUGUGUCUGUGUGUCUGUGUGUCUGUGUGUGUUUGUGUCUGUGUGUGUGUCUCUCUGUGUGUGUCUGUGUCUCUGUGUGUGUGUAUGUGUGUGUGUUUGUGUCUGUGUGUGUAUGUGUGUGUGUUUGUGUCUGUGUGUGUAUGUGUGUGUGUGUCUCUGUGUGUGUGUAUGUGUAUGUGUUUGUGUCUCUGUGUGUUUGUGUCUCUGUGUGUGUGUGUCUGUAUGUGUCUGUGUGUGUCUGUGUGUGUGUCUGUGUGUGUAUGUGUGUGUUUGUGUGCCUGUGUGUGUAUGUGUGUGUAUGUGUUUGUGUCUCUGUGUGUGUGUAUGUGUGUGUCUCUGUGUGUGUUUGUGUCUGUGGGGUGUGUGUGUGUGUGUGUGUGUGUGUGUGUGUGUGUGUGUGUACUGACUGAAGACUGGCCUCAAGCUCACAGUCCUAUCUCAGCC
ensembl:lncRNA